AUUUGAAUUAUUGCCCCUUAUUUGUGACAAAUGUACAAAUGGGGGCACACCCUGUGUCCUACAGACAUAUUCUAGUUGUAUCUACACACUCAACAGGGUUACCAUGGAAACGUACGCCUACAUCUAAGUAGUUGUAUCAAUGGAUGACAGACGUCUAGAUGUACAGUUAUACAGCAGAUGUUGGGGCAUGUAGGGUGUGUAUAUUUACUUUUCCGUUAUUUUCACUGUAAUAUGUUUGUUUCUGUUUAUACACAUACAUUCCUGUAUCAAUACACUCAAUAGGGCUACCAUGGAGAUGUACCUCUACAUCUAGGCAGCGGUGCAAAUGGAAAACAGACAUUUAGAUCUACAAAGUUGUACGGCAGAUUCUGGAGUACAAAAAAUGAGUAUAUCUACUUUUCCUUUCUUGUUGCCACGCUAUAGAUAUGUUUAUUUCUGUUCUUACACAUGCAUUUUUGCAUCUAUACACUCAACAGGGUUACCAUGGAAACUACAAAGUUAUACAGCAUAUUUUGGUGAAUACAUGGUAUGCAUGUUUACUUUUGAUUUCUUGUAACACUAUAAUGCAUUUGUUUCUGUCUUUACACAUGCAUUUCUGUAUCUUAUGCAUUCAACAGGGUUACCACGGAAACGUAUAAAUACAUAAAGGCAGUGAUAUAGACGGACCGCAGACGUUCAGAUACACAAAGUUUUACAGUAGAUGAAGCAUGAAAGGUGUGUAUGUUUACUUUUUCUUCCUUUUGGCAACAUUAUGUUAAUAUGUUUGUUUCUGUUUUUACACAUGCCUGUCUGUAUCUUAUACACACAACAGGUUUAGCACGGAAACGCAUGUCCACAUCAAUGCAAUGGUAUAAAUGGAUGACCGACGUUCAGCUGUACUAAGUUAUACAGCAAAGGGUGUGUAUAUUUACUUUUCCUUUGAUGCGUAAUUUGUAUAAAGGUAAUACUAAGAUUAUAUAUGUUUGGUUGUGUUUUUACACAUGCAUUUCUCUAUAUAUACACCCAACAGGGUUACCAUGGAAACGUACCUCUUCAUCUAGGCAAUGGUAUAAACUGAUGACCGACGUUCAAGUCCCCGGCAAAGAAAGAAAUCCAGCUGUCGAUCAAGUGCUACAGGCUUAGCUUUAAAUAAUCUAAGCCUUACUAAGACCUGAAAAUGAAUGUCAGGCAAAACUGAAAUAAAAGCAAAAUAAGUGAAUGCACUUAGAGAGCACCUAAUCUAUCUUGUAUAUUUUCGCUUCGUAAUACUGUAUGUUUAGUGUUUGCUGUUUUGUCAGGGAUUUGUUUACAGUGUCUACUUGGUUGUUUUUGUGGUGUUGUUUGUCGUUGUGUUUGUUGUGGUGUUUUUGGGUUUAUGGAGGUGUCUGUGGUGGUUUCAGUGUGGUCUUCUCGGUUUUGUUCUUGAUGGUUGUAUUGUUUUGUUGAAAACGAGUAUUUUGUGCGUUUUGUUUGUUGUAUUGGGUUCUUCGUCAUGGUGUUUUUCUUUCUGCCGUUACCAAUGUAUUAUUACUCGCUUUGUAUACUGUAGAAAAUUAUUAGAUUAAUUUCAAUAUUACACUGUGUUAUGAUUUCUUUACUUGUCCAGCAAAUUUUAGAUACCCGGAAACACAUAUCAAGAUAUAUGCAGACGAAUAGGCAUCAUGUGCAGACGACAGAUUGGACUGGGAAGCGUGCGCCAUUGUUUUAUUUCUGCUUUUUAUUCAUUUUGUUUUUCAUUGUUUUUUUCCACUAGAAUAUUGGGUACGCGAAGAAUGAAGACGCAGACGGAUAUUGAAGAUGCAUACCAGACAAAAUUUGGGUUACUGUUUAUCACGAACAGGUGCGUAUGUUGCUUUUUAUGUUAUAUGCUAUUUUGAAUGAAUCUCUUUGCAGAAUUUUCAAGUUGAAUACAAGCAGGUGUAAAGAUGUCACAUUGUAGAUGACACAAUGGUCUAAUGGAUGGUGAAGAUAGCGCAGCUGAUGUUGACUGUACAGACAAUCGUUAAAAUGUCAUGCUGUAGAUGCGACAAUUGUUUAGCGGACGACGCACAUUGGUUCUUCUCAGACGCACUGAGGAAGCAAAGGUCAAUUUUCCAAUUGGAGUAUUCCAAUGGCGUGGGAAUGUGGACACAGAUCUUGGUUUUGGUGAAAGAAAUACUCACAAUACCCUACGAGAAGCAAUUUCUUGGAUUAUACACGAAGAAACUGUUAGUUGAUUGAACAAUAGUGGCAGUAGAACUUCCUUCCUUGCUGGUACCCUAACGCAGCCGGUCACCAGAUGUGCAUUGAAACCCUAUCGAACCCUUGCGUUAACAUGGUAAUCAGCCGUUAUCAACAAGGCAAGAUAGUGCAUGGUUAUAGUGGAAUCAAAGCCUUGGCGGACCUUUCUUCUGUAUUUGUCUCGUCUUGUUGAUAGUAGACAGCUGUUUCACACCUCGUACACAACCAACGGAGAAACCCCCUCGGACGAAGACUU
rnacentral:lncRNA from 1 species